AACUUCAAAAUCCUGAUAAAUAAAACACGCUUCGUUCUGAAAUCUGAAUGACAAAAGCAUGUCUUCGACAGACCAUGACAAUACGUGGAAAUUACUUCAUCCAGAACUACUGUCACGAGACGAACUCCUUUCUACGCUUAGAGAGAGACAUGUCAAAGUUGAUGAAAACAUUUCACAUGAAAAAGAACAAUUGGUGGAACUGUUCAAAAGGGUUGCAAUGCCACAAGCACAACGGUCUUGUUUUAAAGAUAAGACAACUAAAAUGGAAGUCGAAAACACCCAGGAAGGAAAACCAACAGUGUCAGCAUCUAAACUGUAAGUUCAACCUUUAUUUCAUUACUUGGGAAAUUUGCUGAGAUGUACUGCUCUUUAUAUGGCUUCAGACAUUUUUCCCAAAAUGGAAAUCCGUCGAGACAAAACAUUAUUGUACAAGGAACUUCAAGUUGUGCCACAACAAGUUCAUCAUCCUGCAGUAUCAUGGAUGUGACUCAGCAGUUAAAGAAAGCCAAAAUCAAGCGCAGUGCAUCUCAAAUGAGUGGGCAUUGCACCAAAGAUGGAACAAAUCUCCCAAAACGGGAAAGAAUUACAUGGCCUUGAAUAGUGUUAAGUGUAUUGUGUGCAAUGUUUUAUGCCCCUGCCACUUAUUUAGCUUUUCUAUUCUUUUGGUAGAGAAGGGAGAAAGUGACAUAGGUUAUUGACAAUGGCAAGUGUUCACAAAACUUUUGCCAAUAAAACCUUAAAAUUUUUGUAUCGUUUAAUAUCUAAGACGUUUGAGUUGAGCGGAAUAAUCUUACGCAGGAGAUUAUGACGUACUCUCCGGACAAGCCAGUUUUACCUGAUUCGGGUAGCACGUUUGCCCCAAUGUGUAGGAGGCAACUAGUACAGUAGCGUUGUUAAUGGGACAUCCUUGUGGGCUUAUCCAUUCCCGGUCAAUCUCACCGUCGAAAUUGCCACACAGACCGCAGUGUUGAUUUUUGUGAAACCAGGUGGGAAAUACCGCCACAUGACUCCCGCUAUAGUGAAUCAAAAGUCCAGCUCCAGGUGAUGAGAUCACGUAAAUAGGAGCCUGAUAGCGUACCCUGUAUUUGAUGGGGUAAUUACUGAUAUGCUUCUACCAUUUGCUUUUCAUGACUCACUUUAAAACGUAGAAUUUAUCUCGUCCCUCUGGUAAAGUAUACGCAUUAUUCGUAACGUCCAUUUCGACGUCAUUAGCUCGAACGGUAAACUGCUUUCGUCGACCACUUUCAUCCGGUAUGAUUUCUAUGGUAUGUCCGCCAACUUGUACCUUUGUUGCCUUUUUUGAUACAAAUGUUUUAUUUUUCUGGAGAUAUCGGAACAUUAUUAAAGCUUUUCGAGGUUUUACCAAAGGAUAGAGUCCCGCUGUGCGCCGAACAAAAACUCCAAAAAGGGGAUUUGAUCCGCAGUCACUUGUGAUUAAAGUGUAGCAAGGUGAGAAGGAGUUGUUGAAUUUGACCUUAUCCAACGUCCUGAUGUAUUGCGAUGUUACAAGACAGGAGGCUGUACGUAGCAAGGAUAGAUUAAGUUUUUUUAGAGAAAUAAUUUGUACUUGAUUAAAUUAGCUUACGGAAAACGUCCCCCUCGUAGGCGAUUCGUGUAGUUCGAGGAAUACUCGUCGAAGGCAACAGGAAGUUGCCGAAGGGUAGAUUGACGGAGUCGUAUCUUUCAAUAACGUUAUUGGUGGCCCAGUGCAAGUUCACAAUUUGGCCACCAUCAUCCAUUUUAUCCGGUAGGAAAGUCACAUUGACUUGAAUGCGCCCCACUUCUUUGCUUUGACCCACUUGAUCGGUGUUGCUGUUGGGUUCGGUUUUCCAGUACGGCAAGAGGGACAGGCUGAUUAAGUCGCCCAUUUUACCCAUCAUUUUUUCCAGCUGGAAUGGGACAGCAGCGAAUCUGAACUCAAAGUUGUAGUUUGAAAGGGUAGUAAAGUCUAAGGCCGCGUGAUAACAGGCUUCCGUUUGGGGAACGAUUCCUGGUGCCCAAUUUUUACUCGUUUUUUCCAUGUCGCAUUCCUUGUAGGGCCAAGUAUUUGCCUCAUUUCGCCUCUGCAUUACCCACUGUCCUGCAGAAGCCUUAAUUCCCAUUUUGAAACGAAAUUGGUCUGUCGGACACUGUAGUAACAAAAAAAAUUUAAACAAUUGCUGUAGAAUGAAAUAGUUCAUACCAACCUGAUUUGAGGACGAGACGUCACCCAUGACGUACUCGAUUGAUCCUUGGGCAAGGGGGGGCUGAUUGUAACCUGAAAUGUCGAUUAUGUCAGCAGGUGUUGGCUGGAAGACGGAAUCAGCUUUAAGACAUAUCAUAAAAUCCUUGGUGAGGUUUAGUUGGGGAGACCGAACGACAAAGGCACGAACAUUGACAUUGUUUCUAGAUCCUGCAUUCUGAAAAAAAUUAAUAUUUUCUACUUAGUAAAAAAAAAAAACUUACUUUUUAUUGAGUAGAAAAACUUUUUUAAAAAUUGCUAAACUAACCCGGUAUUCGUAUGUCAUGUCGAGUUCUCCCCUGCGAUCUGAAGCCGCCGUUUCUCCUUUCCAGUUAAGUUCGAUCUUUACCGCCAAUUUACCUGACUGCCAUGAAACUUCCGCAUCGUCACUCACGUUUGAUUUCAUUUUGAAUCGGCAGAAUAGCUGUAUUUGAUGUAUUUGUUAGUUUAUUGCUACUGGUGCAAGUUUGCUUUAGUCUAGCUUGUACCUCUUUAACCGGAAGAUGACUUGAUCUAAAGAUCCUUCCCCGAUAUCCGCAGUGACGGCCUUCUGGUUGGACGAACAUUUGGUGCUGCAGUUGAAUGAAACUCAAAUACGCCCAACCAGCAGCAUUGCCUCUAUUUAAAUAGUUUUUGUUAUUCAUAGUUUACAUUCAUAACGAAACUGAUUGCAACCAACCGAUAGUUCAUUGAGACUGGGUUCAGGGCUCCAAUGACGGUUUGAAUUUGUUUUCCUAUAGAACGUCCACUGUCGCAAUUAAACACCUGAGCAUGCGCUUCCGUGCCUAAAAGGGUUGAACUUAAAUUGGCAAUAGUUUCCUAUCCAACAGUGAAUUAGAAUUCGCACCUCUCUCUGUCUUUUUUAACAUCAUAACUAACCGUUUUUAAAAUGGAUCCUUUUUUCGAAAUUACGAUUACGGGUAGACACUGGGGACAAGCUCGUCUGACUUUUUCAUACGAAGUCUCUGAUGGCCGGAGCGUAAGGAUUGUGCGAGCAAAGGAACUUAUCUCAAUGGCAUUCGUUGCUGUAAAAGAAAUUUCAAAGGGUUAAGUAAACCAGAAAAAAAGAUUUGGUUGCAUGGAAAAACCUUUAGGGUUGACAAUGGUAACAUCAGUUUGCAUCUUUUUGGGAUCGGCUAUCACUUCAAGAUUGAGCGGCACGUUGAAAAUGGCUUUUCUGUUGCGAAUUACUCCCUGGGUCAGGUUUAGCGGCGUAAAGUGCGUCAAAAUUCCAUGAUCUCCGUAUAUCUCUCCGCUGUAGUUAAGAAACAUUUCUUUUAUGUUUUUUCAUUCCGUAAGAAAAAAGAAAGAAAAACGAUUUACUAUAAAUUGAUGUUGAGAUGGCGCCCAACAGUUCCAGACUGUUUGGUUUUGGCAAUCGAUCCUUUCAAAGAGAUGAGAAUCGGUGCGCUAAAAACAAAAGAUACGGGCAAUCCUAAUCCAUUAGGUUGGGUGUAAAGUAGAGCGCCAGUCGUAGCGUAGCGUUGAAUGUUAAAAGACAAGUCGUGGAGAAACUCCAAGUUUGUGACAGCUAUUGAAAAGAAUAGAAAUUCAAAUGUUAAGUUUUUUUUUUCGGACGCUCAUUGUCUCCUUUUAUGUUUAAUUUACAUGCCAAAGCAGACGUGAGGAAGUUUUUGUCGAAAUUGUAGAACAUCACUAUCGUUCCAUGUAAUUUGAACACAACGUCCAAACUGCUUACACCUAAUUCCCGUCUCGGGGCAAAGUUAAAAUCGUCCAUCGUGGCGUGAAUACGAGACAUUACCAAGUCUUCCUUUCUCAGAGUCGAACUGGAAAGAUUUGUUAUAUAUUUCCGCAUGCCCGACAUCCGCACAGUGAACUUGUUAAUUGAAAUCAUUAGUCAUCACUUGUUUUACGUAUAGUUUUUUUUUUCUUACUGAAAAGGGUUGAACAGUAGUUCCUUUGACGAAAUAGAGAACUUUGCCGGCGACGUACCCAGGCAAGUCAUCGAACUCUGAACUGACGGUCCUUAAGUUGAGUUGGCUACCAAACGAGGAAGCGCUGUCCAGAAAAUCAUAGGCGUACUCAGCCGAACUACUCGAUUCGCUCAUAUUUUCGCCAAUCAAUGCAUUGACAAGCUGCUUUGCCUGUUGUCUCCUACGUAAAGGGAAUGAAUUAGUUAUUGAUUGCGUGUGAAUUCUAAACGAAGCUUAACGCUGGUAGCCUACAGGAGACUGUUGCAAGGAUUGUGACUGUUGGCAAUAGUUUUAAUGGCCGAGAUAACGUAAUUGCGGACUUGGCUGUUUUUUUCGUCAGACAGGAGUUGUCGCAUUUGCUCAAGCGUUUCUGCGCUCACGAACUCGUCUAGGAUAAUCUGAGCGGCGGCAAUCCGUACUCUAAAACUGUCCUUGACGUCCCUGAGUACUCGCAGUAGAAUAUUCCAAACCUAAAAGCAGAAGAGUUGAUAGAGAACAACUAACUUAUUCAAAAACGCGAAAUUAUUGACGGAUUACUUUGUCUUGUUUCUUGUAAGGACUUAGACCUUUAAUAAUGUAAACCCUGAUAUCAUUAGCGCUCUCGUCAUCAAGUGCCGCUCUGUUCGUCGCCAUUUCCAAAAUAGAAUCUAACACUGAUCCGUAGCCAACAUUUUGCAAGGCAUGCACGUAAAGAGCUCUUUCGGCAAACGAAGAGGAACUCGCUGAACAACGAUCUUAUUAGAAGUGGCAACUUAUUUGAUUUGUAAAACGAUUCACCUGCUACGAUUUUGUAAUAUUUUUGUUGCCAUUCUUCUAUUUUAACCGAUCGACAGCUGGAAGGGCUUUCAGAACAAGUUUUCCCGAUGAGGCUAGCCACAGCCAAUGUGGCUGCGUUUUUAAAGACGCUCAAUUGAUCACCUUCUCCCGACAUUUUUGCAUCGAGAAUUUGUAAGAAUUCCAGCAGUAGCUUUUCUGAUGGCUCUUUGACGUAGACACCGGCGUAAGCUACAAGGCGAGCAGCUGUCCAUACAUCCAAUUGUCCUUCAAGGAUCAAAUCUUUGAUGAGAACAACACCGACGUUGCUCCCAGAGUGGAGAAUCAAAUCCAAAAAGAGAUUCCUGUUUUUGGAUUCUUAUGACUUUUGUGCUCUGCUUGUAAUAGAGGGAUUUUUUUUUUUACCUGGCGGUAUGAAGUUUUUCGUUUUUGGGAGCGAUAGCCAGUUCUUUAUACAAGGCUUUUGCGUUGAUGUAAUCUAAAGAGCCCAGCUGAUAGGAGACUGAAGACAGAGGCAAUACGUCCAAACUGAUCCGCUGUUCUGAGGUGUAGGAUUCUGCUGAAAGAAAUUCUACUGCAUUGAUUAAGUCAAGUUGAGUCCUGCGACGAAGAUUCUCUUGGCCAUAGAUAAGCGAUUCAGGAUGCAACAUGAGAUUCUGUGCCGCUUUCAGGUCCACCCUCUUGUCACUUUCACGUUGAAAAACGAACGUUAAUUGGUCUUUGAAUAGCAACUUGGAUGGGCUAAGCGACUCUGAGGAACGGCGUGUUUUUUCCAAAUGCAUCGUGAGGCUGCAAUCAUUUGAAAUGUAAAAGAGUUACAUACAUAACUUAUGCAGAGGCAAAGGUUAUGUAUUUAAAUUCUUAAUUAGGGUACUUGGUUUUGCUUUUCAUGGAUGAUUUGCUGAUUCCAAACGGGUCCAGCCAGACGACACUAGACGAUUCAAUUUUUACAAGCUCAGGAUGGCCUCUGUUGGGUGCUACUACGUAACGUGUCGUGCUAGUUGUUCCUGCUAUAGUCUACAUCCACCACGAUACAGUGUAACAUAGAAAAAGCUUUAUACACUUUCAUCAGCAAGGAGAGACAAAAAGAAAGGAAAAUAUAUAAUUAAUUCAUUGUACCUGAUGUUCUCCUCCGGGACAGGACGGAAUGUCGAUAAAAGUUCUCCAUCGACCCAGACUUUCUGGGCACGAGUCCAAAUCGCGAUACUUUGUGACGCUGUAUUGGUUAUCAGCUAGCGGAGUAGAGUAGUAGUUGACGCCACAUUUUCCAUACAGCGAUAACUACGACACAGAAACAUUACACUGGCUACCUAUAAUAACGAAAGCGAGAAUCACCUCAUGGUCAGUAUAGAUCCUAUUGUUGAUGCCAGACAGAUCAAGUUGCAGUAUAGACGAAAUCGAACGCUUGAAGUUGGUCGACCAGAGGGGUUCUUUAUCAUCGAGAAAAGCGGCAGCUUCCACCUUUUUCGUAUAAAGAAAAGCAGAAUCAUUUGGUUACCAGCUAGUAACAUUAACAAUCUAGACAAAUCGCUCUAACUUUAGAUCCUGAGUAGAGGAGAUGGAAUGGUUUGCUCAGCUGUUCAUUCAGUUCAGUCAACUCGAGAAAUGUAUUGCCAGGGGGCGCAGUUGUACUGUCGCCCUUAUCGCCAUGCUGAAUGGCCAGCGAAAUGUUCUUGAUCUGCAUAGAAAAGAGUUUAGUGUCAGUGUCAAUUCAGACAAAAAUGUUUAGUUGCGGACUUUAAGAAGUGAGCGCCAUUUGGAAUCUUCAACUUUUGAGAUGACGUAAAGUUGCCCACGCAGCCAAGUUGACGUGACAACUUGGUUGUUGACGCCCGAUUCACUUUCGAUUGAUGCCUCCCAUUCGUAUCGAUAUUCAAUACCCUCACGGAAUGGAGACCUGUUUACUGUGUCUGUCCAAACCUGGUUUGUCGCCAAACCUAAUUGUAAAGAACAAAUAUUUGUUCGAUGUGACCAUGCAAAAUGUAAUAGAAACAAAUUGGCUUUAUUAUGGAACUUACCGAACAAUAGAAAACAGUAGUACAGCAACAUGUUUCCAGCCGGUGAAAACCUAUCGUUCACCAGAAGAUUUUUUAGCUUACUGAACUUGAACGAAAUCAGCCUCACUCUUUUCAUUUACACAUAGCUGUUUCUUGUGAUAAUGCAUGGCUCUGGGCUCAUCCUUCUUGGUGCGUUCGUUCAUUGCUGGGGUAACUUUGAAAACAAAAAAGCGAGAUUCUGACUAUCUCAAACUAUGGAUUUCAUCCGCCAGUACUUGAGAAGAAUACGUCCAGCAUGUAAGCCUAUGGAAUCCAUUCGAGUUACCGUCCGAAAUCUGCUGAAACAAUAGAAAAUUUUAGUUUUUCAAUUUGGCUAAAGCACGCCAUAAGACGUAUUGUCGUGUAUCCUUCCAUUGUCCAAUUAUUUGCCGUCGGAUCUGUUAACUUGAACCGGAAAUAUCGAUUGGGACUGCCCUUUCUAACACGUAUCAAGCUGGCACAUCUGAAAAAAAAAACAGAUGGUUUAGUUUUCCUAUUUUCGUAACUGCUCGUAACCGGGGAGUUCAGGGAGGUUCGGGAGCUCAGCAACAACUUACCAAGGAAUUUUCAGAAUAAUCAACGCUCUAUGAUGUCGUAGUACAAGUAUCGUACUACUGGUCAGCAGAAGCGGAUGGCGCACAGAAGCGUUAGAAUCGUCAGCAGCGAUAAUUCCAGGAAAGACAUACUUUAUAUAUUCUAUUUUUUCUUAGAACUUAGAACGUUAACUUUAGAAACGAUAAACCUUUAAAUAAAAUUAAGAAGUUAGUUGAACUAUGAUGGCACUUCGACGUGAAAAUAUAAGGUAGGGAUCAGACGGACAUCAGUAUAAUGCUUAAAUCUUUCCAGGCGUCCAUUAGAUCGUGGAAAUCGUCGAUUGUGUCGAUAUUAUUUCCCCCGUGAACUUCAUCUGUGUUUCAAAAUGAAUCGCCCAUUUCACAUAGUUGUUUUUAGCUACUAUUUUCAAGAGAUGGCAUGACUAGAAGAAAGGUUGCAAAGUAAUACCUUGAACGGCAGUCUCGGCGAAAUCAUCAGCUAGAGUGAGCACCGCGCCCCAGAGUUUCUUGACGACGACGUAACGUUCGGGCGUCAAUCGUGGAGCGUUGAUGAUGUUGGAGAUAAGCUGGUGGACGCAGGACCGAUCAACGACGAUCUCGUUCUGCAGAAUCAUGUGAUAUUGUGCAUACCCUAAAGUUGUGGCCAAUGAACUGGGGAGAUAUCAUGAGAGCCAAUGCCAUCAGAAGUGACGCUGUUGAGGCCCGACCACUUUUGUAAAGAAUGUCAAAAUAUUUGACGACCAAAUUCAUGUCGAUGGAACUAAGAGGUAGCAGCACGGAUGAGAAAGACCGCAGUAACCAACAGUUGGGCACAUCUAAGAAGAAAGAAGCACAAAACAAAGGACAGUGAUGAUGGAACCUCCGGAGAAGAAAGCUGACACGUUUUGCACUGAGCGCCAAGACCUUGGAGAAUUGCACAUCAUUUCCCUUCCCUUCACCCUCGCGCCAGAACUCUGCACGUGACUAAGCCCCUGUUGCCGAAUGUUUUUACUUAGGUAAUCGUGAUUCUCCUCUUGAUGAGAUGGGAUCAUCCAUCAACGUCCGCCGGUCUACCAUCAUGUUACGAAAAGUUUUUUUUUUAAUUUUAAUUAAUAUUCGAAAUAUCAUUUGUUUUGGGAAAAAAAGUCAGCUGAUAUUUUCUACGAAACAGAGAUGGCGUUGAAUAAAGCAUGGGUUUUUCCCAACCUCUAGAAACGAAAAAGUGUUUUCCAUUUUACCCUGUCAUUUAGCCAAAGUAUUUUUCCUAUUUGUGUCUCCCGUAAUCAACCGUUAAAUUAUUUUUCUAAUCCAGUUGAAAGCUUCCCUGUUAUUGUAGAACAGAUUCAUGGGAUACCAGUUACCAAGCCAAUAUAAGCAAAUCCGUAAUCUUCUGUCAUAUCAGCACGAACUUUGUUCACCAUACACCGAGCACGAUUAGGUCUUGACUAACCUAGUUCGUGUGCGAAACAGCUAUAAACCUGAUGCUCUACUG